rnacentral:rRNA from 1 species
CUAACAGGAUUCCCCUAGUAACUGCGAGUGAAGCGGGAAAAGCUCAAAUUUAAAAUCUGGCAGUCUUUGGCUGUCCGAGUUGUAAUCUAGAGAAGUAUUAUCCGCGCUGGACCGUGUACAAGUCCCCUGGAAUGGGGCGUCAUAGAGGGUGAGAAUCCCGUCUUUGACACGGACUGCCAGGGCUUUGUGAUGUGCUCUCAAAGAGUCGAGUUGUUUGGGAAUGCAGCUCAAAAUGGGUGGUAAAUUCCAUCUAAAGCUAAAUAUUGGCGAGAGACCGAUAGCGAACAAGUACCGUGAGGGAAAGAUGAAAAGAACUUUGGAAAGAGAGUUAAACAGUACGUGAAAUUGCUGAAAGGGAAACGCUUGAAGUCAGUCGCGUUGGCCAGGGAUCAACCUUGCUUUUUUGCUUGGCUUACUUUCUGGUCGAUGGGUCAGCAUCAAUUUUGACUGGUGGAAAAAGUUCAAGGGAAUGUGGCAUCUUCGGAUGUGUUAUAGCCUUUGUUCACAUACAUCAGUUGGGAUUGAGGAACUCAGCACGCCGCAAGGCCGGGUUUUUAACCACGUACGUGCUUAGGAUGCUGGCAUAAUGGCUUUAAUCGACCCGUCUUGAAACACGGACCAAGGAGUCUAACAUGCCUGCGAGUGUUUGGGUGAAAAACCCGAGCGCGUAAUGAAAGUGAAAGUUGAGAUCCCUGUCGUAGGGAGCAUUGACGCCCGGAUCUGACCUUUUGUGACGAUUCUGCGGUAGAGCAUGUAUGUUGGGACCCGAAAGAUGGUGAACUAUGCCUGAAUAGGGUGAAGCCAGAGGAAACUCUGGUGGAGGCUCGUAGCGAUUCUGACGUGCAAAUCGAUCGUCAAAUUUGGGUAUAGGGGCGAAAGACUAAUCGAACCAUC